UACAGAGGGUGCAAGCGUUGUUCGGAAUUAUUGGGCGUAAAGCGCGCGCAGGCGGUCCUUUAAGUCUGAUGUGAAAGCCCACGGCUCAACCGUGGAGGGUCAUUGGAAACUGGGGGACUUGAGUACAGAAGAGGAAAGCGGAAUUCCACGUGUAGCGGUGAAAUGCGUAGAGAUGUGGAGGAACACCAGUGGCGAAGGCGGCUGUCUGGUCUGUAACUGACGCUGAGGCGCGAAAGCGUGGGGAGCAAACAGG
rnacentral:rRNA from 1 species